AGCGAACGUUGGUGGCGUGCUUAACACAUGCAAGUCGAACGCGAACGGCCACUUCGGUGGCCAAGUAGAGUGGCGAACGGGUGAGUAACACGUGAGUAACAUACCCCCAAGUGAGGAAUAACCACUCGAAAGGGUGGCUAAUACCACAUGACACCGCAGGGACUUAUGUCCUGGCGGCCAAAGCCUUGUGCGCUUGGGGAUUGGCUCGCGGUCCAUUAGGUAGUUGGUGGGGUAAAGGCCUACCAAGCCGAAGAUGGAUAGCUGGUCUGAGAGGAUGAUCAGCCACACUGGGACUGAGACACGGCCCAGACUCCUGCGGGAGGCAGCAGUGGGGAAUCUUGCGCAAUGGAGGAAACUCUGACGCAGCAACGCCACGUGUGUGACGAAGGCCCUCGGGUCGUAAAGCACUGUUAGGAGGGAAGAAGUAUGACGGUACCUCCAGAGAAAGCACCGGCUAACUCCG
rnacentral:rRNA from 1 species